CUUGGUCAUUUAGAGGAAGUAAAAGUCGUAACAAGGUUUCCGUAGGUGAACCUGCGGAAGGAUCAUUAGUGAAUUAAACAUGCUCGGUGUCUUCGCUUCGGCAAGGCCCUUGCUUAAAUCACAUCCUAACACCUGUGAACUGUAAGACGUAUGAUGAGGUCUUUGGCCAAGUCAUCGUCUGCCCAUUUUUAACAAACAAUUAAUGUAACAAACGUAGUCUUAUUAUAACCUAAUAAAACUUUCAACAACGGAUCUCUUGGCUCUCGCAUCGAUGAAGAACGCAGCGAAAUGCGAUAAGUAAUGUGAAUUGCAGAAUUCAGUGAAUCAUCGAAUCUUUGAACGCACCUUGCGCUCUUUGGUAUUCCGAAGAGCAUGCCUGUUUGAGUGUCAUGAAAAUAUCAACCUUGACUUGGGUUUUGUGCUCUAGUCUUGGCUUGGAAUUGGGUGCUUGCCGCUUUUACGAGCGGCUCACCUUAAAUGUAUUAGCUGGAUCUGUCUUUGAGACUUGGUUUGACUUGGCGUAAUAAGUAUUUCGCUAAGGACAUUCUUCGGAGUGGCCUCGUUUCUAGGACGCUUGUCCGCUUCCCAAUACAAGUUCCACCUCGUGGACAUGACUUUUUAUUAUCUGGCCUCAAAUCAGGUAGGACUACCCGCUGAACUUAAGCAUAUCAAUAAGCGGAGGA
rnacentral:rRNA from 1 species